GCGAAUAACGACGGGGUGAUUCACGGCGAGGGCUGCGGCGUCCCGGUCACCUCCUUCAUUAGCGCCGCGGACACCCGGCCGGCGGGCAGCUCGGGGUGGCUCCCGGGGGGCUCGGGGAGGGGCACCUCUGCUUAGAGAAGUUGUUGCGUCGCUGUCUGUGGAGACAGCCAAAACCCAUCUCGACAUGGUUGUGGACAACCUUCUGUGGCUGACCCUGCCUGAGCAGGGGGGUUGGACAGCAUGGUCUCCAGAUGCACCUUCCAAACUCAUCCCUUCUGUGACUGUGUCUUGGUGACUCUCCCCUGACAAACGCUUUUGUGGUACCAUACAUAAUCGUCCCCAACUUCAGUCAGUUCUUCAAGCGACCACUCUCAGCUAUGAUGACACAACACAAACGAACGGAGGACCCAGCACAGCUGGUACACACUGGAGAUCGUUUAAGGAUGAUUGUGUGCUGGGCAAAUGAAUAAAAAGAAAAGCUGUACAAUGAUCCUCGUAGGAGUAGCGCAGGUCCGUGUACUGCACGUGACAGAAAGGGUGAAUUCCCACCGGACUUGUGGAGGCUGCGAACAGGAGCAUCUUCAGGAGAUGGAGCACGCAGCGAUGACAGAAAUGAAAUUUCUUCCAACGCAAGAAUAUCCAUGGCUUCUCAUUUCCCUGCAGGUUUUUCAAGCAGCCUGAGAAGGUGAAAGGCUCCCGAGACAAAGGGUUUAAUUCUCUGCAUUUUGGCCAUGGGACAGAUCAGGAUUCCUUCCCUCUGGCAGCCACAGAAGCAAGAUACCCAGGGCAGCAAGGAGCACACAGGGCUACUCAGCAGGAUAUAUCGUCCAGCCCAUACAGAAAAAUAACCCUGAAGACAACUGAAAGAAGUUCCUUAUUUUGUCGUAGAUGAAAAACAGGAAGGAGAAAUUGUAGCAGAGAAGCAUCCAUCCUGGAUCCAUUUCCUGACGGCAGGGGGAAGCUAAGGAUAUAUUGAAAUAAAACUCAACUUCUGAACUAGAAACUUGAAUUUGGCAAAGGAUUUACAAAACAUAGCAAUAAAAUGGUAUUUCAUAUCUGGAAAUCAAAUGUGGGAAUUAAAGACUCCUAUACAAAUAAUCAGAAGAGUGGUGGUGGCACCACCACUGCUGGACAUUUAAAAUCUGUUGGACAAGAAGGAGAGGGUGAAGGAACUCCUAAGUGCCAUGUGAAAGUAAAUGAAAGUUCUUCAGGAAAAGAAACAAGAAUCUGUGACUUUGGGGAAUGGCUGUUGCAAAAAAUGAACUUCGCAACAGAAACUGUCUGGAAAAUAAUUACAGAAAAAUACACAGAGUACAUACAAAUAUGGAGGAACGUUGGAGAGAGGAUAGUAAAAGUCCACCAGAGAUCACACUCGGUCCAACCAAGGAUGCAAACGUAAAAUGGCUUUGCAAAAAUGUUAGAGAAGGCAGCUGAAGCUCGUGCUGCCUGCUGGUGCUACCAGGCCCCUAGCCUUCCCAUCACUCUUGCAGGAGCCGCCGAGCCUGCGGUGGAGCGCAGCCCAUUAGCUGAGACCUGGAGCACCUCUGCCUUUUAUCGUCCCUGCUUCCUGCUGACUCCAGCAGGUUAUUUUUCACAUUAGCACAUGCAGAAGGUUACAUUCAUUUAUAUAUUUUUUUCUGUAAGGGUCUCCAGUGGGAAGCUAACCAUUAGUGAGCUCCCGUUAUAGCUCAUAUUUACUAUUUAUAAAAUUAGUACCAAAAAUACUAAAUCGAAGCACAAAAGUGUUCUUGCUCAUGUGAUUUCCGAGUCUGUUGUCUACACCACUUUAGGAUUCUUCGGGUUUUUUAAUUUAAGGAUCUUCAUAUGUCCCUAAUUUAAGGCUGUUAAUUAUAUGUGUGUGUGUGUAUAUAUAUAUACAAGCAUAUGUUUAUAUAGACUCUAUAUGCGCACAUGUGUAUGAAACCUCUGAACAUUUUUCAAGUUAACUGUAGCACUCAAAUA